rnacentral:lncRNA from 1 species
UACAAACUCUGCUCCUUGCCUUCUUUACUCCAGACCCAAAGCUGAUGGAAAAACCUAAUGUCUAUUUGGAGUAUUGUCAAUCUCAUGGCCGAAGGAAAAAGACAAGGCAAACAAUGCCUUAGCUUCUAAAACUUUGCACAAAAGUGACCAACGUCACUUCAUUUGGCCAAAGCAAGUCAUAUGGCCAUUCCUGAGGUCAACAACAUGGGAGUAUGUCCUCCUACAGAGAGGAGGGCUAAGAGAAAGAAGCUGAAAUGUUUGUCGAAUGAGAAGACAUCUGUCACUACCUCCUCCCGGUAGGCCUUCUCUCCCAGAGGCAUCAAAUUUUGUGGUGGAGCUGGUGCACAGGAGCGCAAAUCUCAGGGAGAGUGAGAUUAAUUACCAACAUUCAGUAUCGACACAGGGAUUCUCUGCUCAUUGUAAUUAUUCUCACAAAGAUUUAUCGCAUCACUUGCAUACCCAGGCUGGCCGAUAUUUUAGGAGCGUGAAUCAGAGUGUCUGGCAUGGCUUCCUCUGCAGCAGAGCUCCGGCUGCAGGCAUAAUGAAGUUGGGAGGGGGAAGAGCUCAACUUAUCAGGGAGGAAAUUUGUGUCAGUAACAAGUCUGCCUGGCAACAGCGCUAGGAAAGAGAGAUACCAGGCCCCAACAUCAGAGCCAAAAUCUUCACACUGGUGGAGCAGCAUCACACUGCACAAUUUGCCUCCUUGGUGGGCUGACUACUCCACUCUUUAAAACAAAAGAAGGAAAGGCAGUGUUCUGUGUACGCGUUCUCCAAAGGAUAUCCCCUAACCUGCCACCAAACAGGGAGACAGUGAUGGACUGAAAUGUCUCCGGGCUGUGGCUAUCCAUGGACAUGUUAUGAAUGAAUAAUGAGAAAGGAGCUUCUGGGAUGGAAUGAGAGGCACAAAGACGACGCUGCAAAGGGC